GAUGAACGCUGGCGGCGUGCCUAAUACAUGCCAGUCGAGCGAACAGACGAGGAGCUUGCUCCUUUGACGUUAGCGGCGGACGGGUGAGUAACACGUGGGUAACCUACCUAUAAGACUGGGAUAACUUCGGGAAACCGGAGCUAAUACCGGAUAAUAUUUCGAACCGCAUGGUUCGAUAGUGAAAGAUGGCUUUGCUAUCACUUAUAGAUGGACCUGCGCCGUAUUAGCUAGUUGGUAAGGUAACGGCUUACCAAGGCAACGAUACGUAGCCGACCUGAGAGGGUGAUCGGUCACACUGGAACUGAGACACGGUCCAGACUCCUACGGGAGGCAGCAGUAGGGAAUCUUCCGCAAUGGGCGAAAGCCUGACGGAGCAACGCCGCGUGAGUGAUGAAGGUCUUCGGAUCGUAAAACUCUGUUAUUAGGGAAGAACAAACGUGUAAGUAACUGUGCACGUCUUGACGGUACCUAAUCAGAAAGCCACGGCUAACUACGUG
rnacentral:rRNA from 1 species